rnacentral:lncRNA from 1 species
CCCUCACCAAAAUUAUCGAAGCCAAAGUAGUGGACUUCAUCUGGAAGUUUAUUAUUUAUCGAUUUGAUCUCCUGUUGGUGCUGAUCACCGACAAUAGAUGCCAGUUCUUGAGCUCCAAAUUCAUCAAGUUUUGUCAAAGCUACAGCAUUGUUUUCACUUUAGUGGGACACCCACAGGCCAACAGCAAGGCUAAGGUAACUAACUGUACCCUUUUGCAGGGACAGAAGAUCAGGAUCG